rnacentral:rRNA from 1 species
CCCUUAGAUGUUCUGGGCCGCACGCGCGCUACACUGAUUCAUGCAACAAGUUUUGUCCUUGGCUGAUAGGCCUGGGUAAUCUUUGAACGUGAAUCGUGAUGGGGAUAGAUGAUUGCAAUUAUUCAUCUUCAACGAGGAAUUCCUAGUAAACGCAAGUCAUCAGCUUGCAUUGAUUACGUCCCUGCCCUUUGUACACACCGCCCGUCGCACCUACCGAUUGAAUGGUCCGGUGAACCCUCCGGAUCGGCGCGCACCUCGGUGCCGCCGAGAAGUUGGCUAAACCUUNCNAUUUAGNGGAAGGUGAANUCGUANCA